rnacentral:rRNA from 1 species
CGUAGGUGGCAAGCGUUGUCCGGAUUUAUUGGGUUUAAAGGGUGCGUAGGCGGCCGCCUAAGUCAGUUGUGAAAUACCCCGGCUCAACCGGGGGGGUGCGAUUGAUACUGGGCGGCUCGAGUAACAGCGAGGUUGGCGGAAUUGACGGUGUAGCGGUGAAAUGCAUAGAUAUCGUCAAGAACACCGAUAGCGAAGGCAGCCAACUAGGGGUUAACUGACGCUGAGGCACGAAAGUGCGGGGAUCAAACAGGAUUAGAUACCCUGGUAGUCCGCACUGUAAACGAUGAUUACUCGAUGUUGGCGAUAGACAGCCAGCGUCCAAGGGAAACCGAUAAGUAAUCCACCUGGGGAGUACGCCGGCAACGGUG